AUUGAACGCUGGCGGAAUGCUUUACACAUGCAAGUCGAACGGCAGCACGGACUUCGGUCUGGUGGCGAGUGGCGAACGGGUGAGUAGUGUAUCGGAACGUGCCCAGUCGUGGGGGAUAACGUAGUGAAAAUUACGCUAAUACCGCAUACGAUCUAUGGAUGAAAGCGGGGGAUCGCAAGACCUCGCGCGAUUGGAGCGGCCGAUAUCAGAUUAGGUAGUUGGUGGGUAAAGGCCCACCAAGCCAACGAUCUGUAGCUGGUCUGAGAGGACGACCAGCCACACUGGAACUGAGACACGGUCCAGACUCCUACGGGAGGCAGCAGUGGGGAAUUUUGGACAAUGGGCGAAAGCCUGAUCCAGCCAUUCCGCGUGCAGGAUGAAGGCCCUCGGGUUGUAAACUGCUUUUGUACAGAACGAAAAGGUUUCUACUAAUACUAGGAGCUCAUGACGGUACUGUAAGAAUAAGCACCGGCUAACUACGUGCCAGCCGCCGCUGUAA
rnacentral:rRNA from 1 species